rnacentral:rRNA from 1 species
GAUCCUGGCUUAGAACGAACGCUGGCGGCAGGCUUAACACAUGCAAGUUGAACGGGAUUUGCUUGGUGCUUGCACUGAGCGAUGAGAGUAGCGCACUGGUGAGUAACACGUGGGAACAUGCCUUUUGGUGGGGGACAACAGAGGGAAACUUCUGCUAAUACCGCAUAAGCCCUAAGGGGGAAAGAUUAAUCGCCGAAAGAUUGGCCCGCGGAAGAUUAGGUAGUUGGUGGGGUAAAGGCCUACCAAGCCGACGAUCUAUAGCUGGUCUGAGAGGACGAACAGCCACAUUGGAACUGAGACACGGUCCAGACUCCUACGGGAGGCAGCAGUGAGGAAUAUUGGGCAAUGGAGGAAACUCUGACCCAAGCCAUGCCGCGUGAGUGAAGAAGGUUUUCGAAUUGUAAAGCUCUUUCGGAUACGAGGAUGAUGACGGUAGUAUCUAAAGAAGCCCCGGCAAACUUCGUGCCAGCAGCUGC